rnacentral:misc_RNA from 1 species
GAUGAAGAACGCAGCAAAUCGCGAUAUGUAGUGUGAUCUGCCCAUAGUGAAUCAUCAAAUUUUUGAACGCAUCUUGCACCCUUGGGUAUUCCUGAGGGUACGCCUGUUUCAGUAUCAUUCUAACUUCUUUUCCCCUUGAUUGGGGGGAUGGAAAAAUCACCAUUGGCCUGGUUUAGGCGCGUUUUUUUUUAACGCGUUUGCUUGGCUUGAAUAGGACUCGGUUUUUGACUGGGUAGUUACCUUUUGGUAGUGAAUUCUGCAAAAAGUAAAAACUUCUCCAUAAAAAAACUCGGGCUUGAUGCCCACAUUCAUAUACUUGAUCUGAAAUCAGGCGGGAUUACCCGCUGAACUUAAGCAUAUCAAUAAGCGGAGGA